rnacentral:rRNA from 1 species
GCUGGCGGCGUGCCUAAUACAUGCAAGUCGAACGGUCUUUUCUAUGGAAGCUUGCUUCCACUGAGAAGAUAGUGGCGAACGGGUGAGUAACACGUGGGUAACCUGCCCAUAAGAGGGGGAUAACAUCCGGAAACGGGUGCUAAUACCGCAUAGUUUUCUUGAUCGCAUGAUUGAGAAAGGAAAGACGGCCUUUGUGCUGUCGCUUAUGGAUGGACCCGCGGCGUAUUAGUUAGUUGGUGAGGUAACGGCUCACCAAGACGAUGAUACGUAGCCGACCUGAGAGGGUGAUCGGCCACAUUGGGACUGAGACACGGCCCAAACUCCUACGGGAGGCAGCAGUAGGGAAUCUUCCGCAAUGGACGAAAGUCUGACGGAGCAACGCCGCGUGAGUGAAGAAGGUUUUCGGAUCGUAAAACUCUGUUGUCAGAGAAGAACAAGUUGGAGAGUAACUGCUCCAGCCUUGACGGUAUCUGACCAGAAAGCCACGGCUAACUACGUGCCAGCAGCCGCGGUAAUACGUAGGUGGCAAGCGUUGUCCGGAUUUAUUGGGCGUAAAGCGAGCGCAGGCGGUUCCUUAAGUCUGAUGUGAAAGCCCACGGCUCAACCGUGGAAGGUCAUUGGAAACUGGGGAACUUGAGUGCAGAAGAGGAGAGUGGAAUUCCAUGUGUAGCGGUGAAAUGCGUAGAUAUAUGGAGGAACACCAGUGGCGAAGGCGACUCUCUGGUCUGUAACUGACGCUGAGGCUCGAAAGCG